rnacentral:tRNA from 1 species
GCCCACAUAGCUCAGUCGGUAGAGCGCGUUCUUGGUAAGAACGAGGUCUCCGGUUCAACUCCGGAUGUGGGCU